rnacentral:lncRNA from 1 species
UCAAAAUGCACCAUUAAGGGAGUGAAAAACACCACUAAAUGAAGUGAUGAAAAUUCUUGCUGAAGGAAUUUUUUCCCACACAAAUACAACUGGAUACCAUUUUCUUCUGCCUCUUUGGGACCCCUGCCAUAACUACUGUCUCUCUCAUUCUGUAGCUUAAAUCUCUUCUGUGCUGGAUUCUUCCUGAAACACUCCCUCUCUUUCUUCUUCACAGUCCAGCUUAUUGAAAGAUUAAUAUACAUUUACUUUUGCCAUUUAGUCGCUUUUCAACUCAUUUCUUAGUUGAGCAUUUACUUCUCAUUUUCACUGCACUCUGGUUUCUUAGUUGACACAGUUCUUUCUAAGGUGACCACUGGUCUCCAUAAGAUGAAAUUCAGUGAACGCUUUUCAGUCUUUAUCUGACUUGUCACUCUCCAGAAGCACUCCAUAACGUUGACUAUGCUUUUCUUAAAAUCGGUUCCUCCCUUUGCUUCUGCAGCUGUGCUCACUCCCUAUUCCUCACUCCUUCUGAAUAUUCUCUGCAGGUUUUUCCAUUCUUUCUGCCUCUUCAUACCACCCACCAAAUUUAACUACUUUAAAAUUUAUAUAGGUAUAUGUGUGUGUAUGUACAUGUAUAUGUAGAAUAUAUGCUUACUUUUUAAAAUUC